UACGUAGGGUGCAAGCGUUAAUCGGAAUUACUGGGCGUAAAGCGUGCGCAGGCGGUUAUGUAAGACAGGUGUGAAAUCCCCGGGCUUAACCUGGGAAUGGCAUUUGUGACUGCAUAGCUAGAGUGUGUCAGAGGGGGGUAGAAUUCCACGUGUAGCAGUGAAAUGCGUAGAGAUGUGGAGGAAUACCGAUGGCGAAGGCAGCCCCCUGGGAUAACACUGACGCUCAUGCACGAAAGCGUGGGGAGCAAGCAGG
rnacentral:rRNA from 1 species